ACCUUUGUGGUGUAGUGGUCAGCACGCUUGACGCGUAACCGAGAGGUCCGUGGUUCGAUUCCCGGCGAAAGCU
rnacentral:tRNA from 1 species